rnacentral:rRNA from 1 species
GGAUUCCCCUAGUAACGGCGAGUGAAGCGGGAAGAGCUCAAAUUUGAAAUCUGGCAGUCUACGAUUGUCCGAGUUGUAAUCUAGAGAGGUGUUUUCCGUGCCGGACCAUGUACAAGUCCCUUGGAACAGGGCGUCAUAGAGGGUGAGAAUCCCGUCCAUGACAUGGACUCCCGGUGCUCUGUGAUACACCUUCAAAGAGUCGAGUUGUUUGGGAAUGCAGCUCAAAAUGGGUGGUAAAUUCCAUCUAAAGCUAAAUACAGGCGAGAGACCGAUAGCGAACAAGUACCGUGAGGGAAAGAUGAAAAGAACUUUGGAAAGAGAGUUAAACAGUACGUGAAAUUGUUGAAAGGGAAACGCUUGGAGUCAGUCGCGUCUGCUGAGACUCAGCCUUGCUUUUGCUUGGUGUAUUUCUCAGUUGAUGGGCCAACAUCAAUUUUGGGCGGUGGAAAAAGGUGAGAGGAAUGUGGCAGCUUCGGCUGUGUUAUAGCCUCUUGUCAUACACAUUGCCUGGGAUUGAGGACUGCAGCACGCCUUUGGUUGGGGUUCGCCCACACUACGUGCUUAGGAUGUUGGCAAAAUGGCUUUAAACGACCCGUCUUGAAACACGGACCAAGGAGUCUAACAUGCCUGCGAGUGUUUGGGUGUAAAACCCAUGCGCGUAAUGAAAGUGAAAAGUUGGGACUCUUUAGUGAGGCACCGACGCCCGAUCCUGACGUUCUCUGACGGAUUUGAGGCAGAGCAUGUAUGUUGGGACCCGAAAGAUGGUGAACUAUGCCUGAAUAGGGUGAAGCCAGAGGAAACUCUGGUGGAAGCUCGUAGCGAUUCUGACGUGCAAUCGAUCGUCAAUUUGGGUAUA